CGCGGCCUAUCAGCUUGUUGGUGAGGUAGUGGCUCACCAAGGCGACGACGGGUAGCCGGCCUGAGAGGGCGACCGGCCACACUGGGACUGAGACACGGCCCAGACUCCUACGGGAGGCAGCAGUGGGGAAUAUUGCACAAUGGGCGCAAGCCUGAUGCAGCGACGCCGCGUGAGGGAUGAAGGCCUUCGGGUUGUAAACCUCUUUCAGCAGGGAAGAAGCGUGAGUGACGGUACCUGCAGAAGAAGCACCGGCUAACUACGUGCCAGCAGCCGCGGUAAUACGUAGGGUGCGAGCGUUGUCCGGAAUUAUUGGGCGUAAAGAGCUUGUAGGCGGUUUGUCGCGUCUGCUGUGAAAAUCCGGGGCUCAACCCCGGACUUGCAGCGGGUACGGGCAGACUAGAGUGUGGUAGGGGAGACUGGAAUUCCUGGUGUAGCGGUGGAAUGCGCAGAUAUCAGGAGGAACACCGAUGGCGAAGGCAGGUCUCUGGGCCAUUACUGACGCUGAGAAGCGAAAGCAUGGGGAGCGAACAGGAUUAGAUACCCUGGUAGUCCAUGCCGUAAACGUUGGGAACUAGGUGUGGGUCUCAUUCCACGAGGUCCGCGCCGCAGCUAACGCAUUAAGUUCCCCGCCUGGGGA
rnacentral:rRNA from 1 species